rnacentral:rRNA from 1 species
AUGCAGGAUCAGAAUGUGUUCUCAAUGAGAUUGGAUCUUGGGGAUGGUCGUUUUAUGGAUGUAAACGCACGAGAAGUACGUAGAAUUCUUGGUCUAGUUGGAGGUGGUGGUCGGACUCGUGUUUUGCGUAGGAUGUGUUUGCGUAAUAGGCUAGAGGUGCUUGAGAGAGUGCACGAACUGCUUGGGAAUGAUUAUGCAAAGUGUGCAUCGAUUUCUAUUUUGCGUUUGAAGAAGAUUCUUCAAAAUGCAAGAAGAGAAGAACUCACUCCGGCAGUUAGGAGGAAAAUUAAAGUCGCACAUACCAUGCUAGCAUUCUCAACAUUUCUAGCUCCACAAGAUCCAUAUGCAAAGGUAGCGGACGAGAUUCUGUACAUGGUACAGUAUCCGGAUGAAAUAGACAAGUACAAUGUCACCGAGUACAUCAUAGAGAGUCUCAGGCAUGGGACUAGACAUGCGCGCCGCAGCCUCGAGCGUGGGCACGCAAGAAUCGUCAUAGAAGGAUGCAUGCUAAUUCCACAGAUACUGUUUUGCGAGUCUUGCGAAUACUUGCCAAGCGAUAUCGCCACCCUAGCAGAACCGCAGAUCGCUGCCUACGGCCAGUCCAGACUAAAAAGAAUCAUCAGGCGUUAUGCACCACCUGAGAUUUACUGUGGGCUUCGGGUGAGGGGGCAAGAACAUUCGGAUAGCAGCAUGGGCGCUGGUGGUGGGGAUGGAACGGUACCAGCUGAGAUGCAUAGCUCUGAUGCUGAACAUGACAGCGACGCUGCAAGUACUGGAGGGGGGGGGGGUGGGUGGACCACCAGCUCUGGAUAUGGAUGCUUUCAAAAAUAUGAUCAAUGGUAUAGCUGA